AAUCAACGCUGGCGGCGUGCCUAACACAUGCAAGUCGAACGCGAAAGCCCCGCAAGGGGUAAGUAGAGUGGCAAACGGGUGAGUAACACGUGGGUGACCUGCCUUCGAGUGGGGGAUAACGUCCCGAAAGGGACGCUAAUACCGCAUGACAUCCUGCUUUUGAAAAAGCGGAGAUCAAAGCUGGGGAUCGCAAGACCUAGCGCUUGAAGAGGGGCCCGCGCCUGAUUAGCUAGUUGGUGAGGUAACGGCUCACCAAGGCGACGAUCAGUAUCCGGCCUGAGAGGGCGGACGGACACACUGGGACUGAGACACGGCCCAGACUCCUACGGGAGGCAGCAGUGGGGAAUUGUUCGCAAUGGGCGCAAGCCUGACGACGCAACGCCGCGUGGAGGACGAAGAUCUUCGGGUCGUAAACUCCUGUCGAGCGGGACGAACGCUUCGCGGACGAAUAAUCCGCGGAAUUGACGGUACCGCUAAAGGAAGCCCCGGCUAACUCCGUGC
rnacentral:rRNA from 1 species